CCACUGCUGAGGAGUCCCACAUUGGGACGAAACAGCUGUCCAGUAC
rnacentral:hammerhead_ribozyme from 1 species